AGAAAAUGCCAGUACGACCGAGGCUCUUGGACUCUAAUGCAUUCACCUGGCAGUACAUUGGCUGGGUCCCUAUCUGUGAUUGCACGUUGGCUCCAACCUGGGCCCCUUGGUGAGAAUCCCCAUUGAGUGACUGCACGCUCAUGAACAAAUCUCCAGAGUUUGACAUGUUAAAAGAACUGGAAGAACCUGGAAAGGAAAGAGUGAGGCACCUGAAUCAAAGAAAGGAAAAGGCUCAACCCCCGCAACUAACAGCCAAGAGGAAGGAUGACAUGCAAAGCAAUCCCCCCAAAUAAAAAUGAAAAUGAAAACAACAUCAACAGAGUCUGGUUAGUAGCAUGGAGAACAGAGCAAGCAAUAGGAUGCAUAUUGUUCCUGUUAUGUGAAGCCACCCUUCACUACAAGUUGUCAGCAGGAUCGCUUUCCCUUAGCAUCUUCAAGCUGAGAAAGGGAAGAUUUAUUCAUCUUAACUUAGGCUAUUUGGAUUGGAGACUGUUUUCAGGUCCAGGAUCUCUCUUCCUGGCCUCUGAAAUUCUAGGGUUGGUCAGGGGACCACAGACGGGAGAAAUACAGGCUGGUCAGUGAUGCUUUCCUGCCCCUACUAUGGAGCACGUGAAGUAUUCUGCUGGACUCCAACUAUGCCACUGCCAAACCCAUCUACUCUAACAUGGAAGCAGCACAUGGAUGGGGAGUGCAUGAAAGCAUUGCCACGCUUUAGGGCUGGUCCUGUGAUAUGAGUCCACUGGCAUUCCUGACUUCUAGAAAGAAGCUGGGGUUCCCUGCUGGGUGGCAAACAUCCCAGGAGAGCCUUGAUGACUAAAAAUAGGUGAGGGUCUUCUACCCUUCCUUGCCACCUGUCAUUAUGGGGGAAGAUGAAAUGGAAGCGUGGGCCAGGGAUUCUGAAGCAUGCAUGAAAUAUCAAAUAAUAUAAUUAGUAAUAAUAAUAAUAAAGCAGACCUCAAGAAGGGCAGUUAACCAUCUGCUUUCGCCUCCCAGAGAUGGAGCCACAGCUUGCCUUUAGGUCCAUCCUGGCCACCACCCCCUGGUUCCACUGUGUUAAACCUAGCCUGCCCUCAACCUAAACACAUGGAUGGUAAAGCUCAGUAUUAUUCUGAAGUCAUCGUGCAGUUCAGCGCAUUAGGAAAGAAAGCUCAACGUGCAAGGUUUGGUUAAAAUAUGACGUUAGCCUGGAAAAGGAGAGACCUUAGGGACCCAGAUGGGGAUUUGAGCUCUCCUGAGAGAGUGGCCCUGGCCGGUAUGAAGAGCCACAGCUAAGCAGAAGAAAUGAUUUUUCCCCCACAGAAGAACCACUUAACUAGCAACAAACUCUAAACUCUGCCACUUUUAUCUAUGCUUACCUAUCCAUAGGAUCCUCCUACUUCAAAGGAAAAAGGAAAUGCUUUCAUUGGGAGGUAUGGGAGAUUCAAGUAUCAACCAGAGAACAGUGACAUCUCCCGCUGCUCUGCAAUAUAUCCUUUCUCUUCUGGCACAACUCUAUGUUUAGCUUUUCUGAAAGAAAUUAGAAAAGUUGGGUCUUGGCAAAAUAGGCUCAAGAUCUGACCAGGUGCGGUUUACACCCAGUAAGUGCAGUGAAUGCUUUGGCCUGUAACUUCCUUCCAUUAAUGUGGUACAAAUGUUUCAACUAUCCUCCCCCACAUAUGUGUGAAGCAGUGUGUAGUACCUAUUACAUUCUCAUAUUAGGAUAUAUAAUGCCCAGGCCUCUUUGCACUAGUUACAUCAAACCUUUUUUUAAUCACAGGGAUAUAACCUAAAUAAAAGCCAUUUUGUCCUAAGUGUUAUGAUGCAUGGUCAUGUUUAGAUGUCAUCAGGACCAAGAAUAGUCAGCAGCAAGAACCCAAAUUAUAAUUGUUUACACAUCAUCAGUCUUUUUUUCUUCUGAGAGUGCUCAGUUUGAAGCCCAGGUAUUUUAUUUCUCUCCCAAUCAAAUACCAUGCAAUAAACACACAAGCUAUAUGCUUGGCUGAUGGCUUAUUGGAAAUUAGCACACAAACUGUGAAAUGGGAAAAAAUCCCAAAGGGCUACAGUGAUUCCAAGUAACACGGUGUCCAUGAAAUCAUGAAGGCAUGGAAUAUGCCAUUUUCAAGAUAUAUACUGCAAUUGACAUAGAUGAUUUUAAAAAUAUAUGGGCAUAGAUAAAUUGUAAAUAUGUCUGGCUGCUUAAUGUACACAGGGAUAAAUAUGUGCAUAUAAAUAUACUUCAUGUACAAAUGCAUUUGUAUCAGAGCAGUAAUUACAGGAAUAGUCCCUUGUGCUCUUGGCUGUGCUGUUUCAGCAUUUUAUCGUCUCUGUAUGCCCGUGUACAGCACCACCACGGCUUCUGACUCUCUGAUAAGCAUCUAGAGGCAGUGAUUGCUGUGAGGGAAGAGACUAGGGUGCCACUAAUACCACAAGAAAGCAGACAGAUGGCCACACAGAAAUCUAAAUAAUGAGGGGAGGGCACUCUUCAUCCAGCACUGGAAGUUGGAAAGAACUGAUCGCAGAAUGGAUAAUCUCUUGGGAAGUACAUAUUUCAUUGUCAAAAGGUGAAUGGGCUCCCUUGGAGGUGCUAUGGAAUUCUCAAAUUGCUGAAAAAGAAUUAACUGGCUUGAUGAGAAGGUCAUUCAGAAACCCUACCUGCAGGUUGUUGUAAAGUAAUAAGCAAUUACCAGAAGCACAUCUUAAGAUGUGCUUGUCAGUUAAAAGAUUCUGAAUUUGGCUUGGGAAGCAAGGCAAGUGGCUCAUUUAAGCUGCCACCCAGUCAGGGCAGGUACAGAACUGAAUCUUCACUCAACUAGACAGAAAGGAAACAAUGCAUCACCUAUGGAUUCUAAUGCAUUUGGAACAUGAUAAUGUGGAGAUGUGUUAACUUCCAUUAAACACUUUCCCAAAGACUACAUUUCCACACUAGAGAGUCUUCAGAACACUCAAAUUUGUGUAGGAAAGGAAAAGACAAUUGACUUUAAAAAUCAAAGAUAGAAUACCAAUGAUAAAAUCUAAACCUAGAACAGGGUUUUUCAACCUUUUGACAUUUUGGGCCAGAUAAUUCUUCACUGUGGGAGAAUGUCCAGUGCAUUGCAGGAUGUUAAGCAACAUCCCUGGCCUCUGUUUGGUAGCACACCCUUCCCCCGAAUUGACACAACCAGAGAUGUCUCCAGGCAUUGCCAGAUGUCCCCUAGGAGGCCAAACUGCCCCCACUUGAGAGCCACGGACCUAGAACAAGGAUGGCUUUACUUUUUCCUCCCAAGGAACUCAGAGUGUUUAAAAGUAUAAGAUCUUUAUUUCUCACAGCAUUUUAAUGAAGUAGCUGCAUGGCAAAUACUGCCUUAAUUUUUCUCUUUUAGAAAUUGAGGAUCCAAAUAAAUAAGGUGAUCAGCUCAUCAGCUUAGAUUCCCAUACCAUUUGGAGGUACAAAUGAUAGAGCCACUUUACAAGGUGUAAGUAAUUGUCUCAUGCUAGCUUUCCCAUUUUCCAUGAUUCUUCCCUUCCGAAUUACCAAAAUUAUUGUUACUUUAUACUAAGGGCAAAGUAGAAGGGUGAAGUGUUGUCUGGUUCAAUGCGUGCAUGUCAAGGUUCUAGAGUUCCAAUCCCAGGAGGCUGUGGUUCCAUUUUCCACUUAGAAAUAAAGGCAAGAAACAGAGGACAAAAGAACAUGAGCGGAAACACUGAUAGAAUAAAUUCUUCCACUUGAUUUAAAAAAAUAAAAUUAAUUUUUUUUCUGAGGAUUUACUAGAGUGCCAGUCAAUUUCUCUGGAUGCUUUGCCUCAUCUCUAGCUGUAUGUACUAUAUAGAUACUUCUCCUAAGAAGUUCAAUAUGAUCACUUUCCACCAACCCAGAAAAAGACCAAACCUCCUAUUAGCGGUGUAAUAAGAAUAUGUACAAGGGCUUGCCAUUGGCAAAACAGUGCUGGAAGGAGAACUUCCACGGCUGAGCUCACUGUUGUCCUUGACACAUGCACAGUUAAGAAAAAUAAUUAAAAUCUGGGUGUUCUGAGCCUCAGUAAGCCUGGGAUCACCUAGCUAGUCACAGAACGCAAUAUAAUAUCAAUGCUGACAUGAUGCUAUAACAAACGUCUGCAAUUCACAAACCAAUUUCUUUAUUCUUAGAUGUCAAUAUGUUCUCCAGAAGAUAAACCAAGCUUCCGGAAAGGGUCCCCUUUUUCUGAGGUCUUAAUUCUUGCUCUUAAUAAUCUCAUCAAGAGAUAGAAAACUGAGAAUGUGUCACUCCCAGUUACUCCAAAAAAUUUUUGGCGUCAGGGUUACAACUAUUACUUCAGUUGGUCUCCAGUUUUGUUUUCUUCUUUCAAAACUUAAUAUUCCUGCCUUCUUUGUAUUCUUCCUCUUUUGCUCCCUCCAUUUUGCCCAACUCUGCUAGUAUAAAAAAUGAAGCAUGAUAAGUGUCUCUGAAUGAUUGCUAA